rnacentral:rRNA from 1 species
AACGAACGCUGGCGGCAUGCCUAACGCAUGCAAGUCGAACGAGACCUUCGGGUCUAGUGGCGCACGGGUGCGUAACGCGUGGGAAUCUGCCCUCUGGUUCGGAAUAACUCAGGGAAACUUGAGCUAAUACCGGAUAAUGACUUCGGUCCAAAGAUUUAUCGCCUGAGGAUGAGCCCGCGUCGGAUUAGCUUGUUGGUGAGGUAAAAGCUCACCAAGGCGACGAUCCGUAGCUGGUCUGAGAGGAUGAUCAGCCACACUGGGACUGAGACACGGCCCAGACUCCUACGGGAGGCAGCAGUGGGGAAUAUUGGACAAUGGGCGAAAGCCUGAUCCAGCAAUGCCGCGUGAGUGAUGAAGGCCUUAGGGUUGUAAAGCUCUUUUACCCGGGAUGAUAAUGACAGUACCGGGAGAAUAAGCCCCGGCUAACUCCGUGCCAGCCGCCGCCGUAACAC